AUUCAGAUAACAAGUCUCAAAUUGGACGAAACGCGCGUCCUGGAU
rnacentral:hammerhead_ribozyme from 1 species